UCUCCUGGGAAACGGGUGGUAAUGCCGGAUGCUCCAGUUGACCGCAUGGUCCUCUGGGAAAGCUUUUGCGGUAUGGGAUGGGGUCGCGUCCUAUCAGCUUGAUGGCGGGGUAACGGCCCACCAUGGCUUCGACGGGUAGCCGGCCUGAGAGGGCGACCGGCCACAUUGGGACUGAGAUACGGCCCAGACUCCUACGGGAGGCAGCAGUGGGGAAUAUUGCACAAUGGGCGCAAGCCUGAUGCAGCGACGCCGCGUGCGGGAUGACGGCCUUCGGGUUGUAAACCGCUUUUGACUGGGAGCAAGCCCUUCGGGGUGAGUGUACCUUUCGAAUAAGCACCGGCUAACUACGUGCCAGCAGCCGCGGUAAUACGUAGGGUGCAAGCGUUAUCCGGAAUUAUUGGGCGUAAAGGGCUCGUAGGCGGUUCGUCGCGUCCGGUGUGAAAGUCCAUCGCUUAACGGUGGAUCCGCGCCGGGUACGGGCGGGCUUGAGUGCGGUAGGGGAGACUGGAAUUCCCGGUGUAACGGUGGAAUGUGUAGAUAUCGGAAAAAAACACCA
rnacentral:rRNA from 1 species